rnacentral:piRNA from 1 species
UGUGAAUGUGAUGUGUGCUUUUAACUGCUG